rnacentral:rRNA from 2 species
UCGCGGCGGCGUGCGCAGAAGGGUCUGGGCUCGAGCCUGCCUGGAGCCGCCGCCGGUGCAGAUCUUGGUGGUAGUAGCAAAUACUCCAGCGAGGCCCUGGAGGACUGAUGUGGAGAAGGGUUUCGUGUGAACAGCCGUUGCACACGAGUCAGUCGAUCCUAAGCCCUAGGAGAAAUCCGACGCCUACGGCGACGGGAAAAAUUUUUGAAAAAUCAACCCGUUGAUCGGGCGAAAGGGAAUCCGGUUCCUAUUCCGGAACCCGGCAGCGGAACCGCUGUUUGUCGGGCCCUCACAAGGGGUUCGUCAGGGUAACCUAAAAGGGCCCGGAGACGCCGUCGGGAGCCCCGGAAAGAGUUUUCUUUUCUGCAUGAGCGUUCGAGUUCCCUGGAAUCCUCUCGCAGGGAGAUAGGGUUUGGAACGCGAAGAGCACCGCAGUUGCGGCGGUGCCCGGGAAUUCCCGACGGACCUUGAAAAUCCGGGAGAGGGCCACGUGGAGGUGUCGCGCCGGCUCGUACCCAUAUCCGCAGCAGGUCUCCAAGGUGAAGAGCCUCUAGUCGAUAGAAUAAUGUAGGUAAGGGAAGUCGGCAAAUCGGAUCCGUAACUUCGGG